GAUUCUGUUCGAGUGGAGUCCGGUGUUUCUGAUAUUGCUGCUUGGCUGGUAUUUUAUCCCUGUCUAUAUUUCCGCUGGGGUGUACACCUUGCCAGAGUAUCUUGAGAAGCGUGUCGGUGGAAACAAGAUCAGGAUUUAUAUAUCGGUUUUGUUCCUGGUGCUCGCUGUUGUCACCAAACUAGCGGUAACUUCAUGACUUUUGUUUGACACCCUUUACAGUUACAUUGAAUAACUAAGCAGUAACUAUCCUAUUUAACACCCAAUACAGUUUUAGUCACCAGGCUAGAGGUAAAGUUCUGUAAUUCCUGUGAUUUUAUGACAUUUUUAAGACAUUCUUAUACUACACCCCACUUCACGGAUGUAACGUCACAAUGGGACAAUAGGGUGGCGUCAGGAGCUCGGAAACAUCAUAAUGCCAUGUUUAUAAAAUUGUAUAAUUUCUGAGCUAGUUCUUGUA